UACGUAGGGGGCAAGCGUUGUCCGGAUUUAUUGGGCGUAAAGAGCGUGUAGGCGGUUAGGUAGGUCCGUUGUGAAAACUCGAGGCUCAACCUCGAGACGCCGAUGGAAACCAUCUGACUAGAGUCCGGAAGAGGAGAGUGGAAUUCCUGGUGUAGCGGUGAAAUGCGCAGAUAUCAGGAAGAACACCCGUGGCUAAGGCGGCUCUCUAGUACGGUACUGACGCUGAGGCGCGAAAGCCAGGGGAGCAAACGGG
rnacentral:rRNA from 1 species